CACACACAUCCUUCGCUGUUCUGAAAGAAGUUGCCGCGCUGUCAGUCAAAUAAAGCUCACUGAAGCGUGCCGUGUGCCAUCAGCGACACGAGAACUACAUGAGGAAGUCGCAUGCGCACAUCUGAACACUUAUGAUCGUGGAGGAAGCAGAUGGACUGCUUUCUGUGUGAGAGAUCUAGUCAAACAUGACACUCCCUCAACGCAGACACGUGCUUUGAGCCUAGGUAACAUAAAAACUGUUUAGACACGUCCCACUGGGGGAGGGUGAGAUGACAUGCACACACUUUGAUAACUCAGAAGCUAGAUGACUGGCUGCUGGUGUGUUCAGGUAGGGAUCAGUCUCUGCUAAUGUUCAGCUGGCUUCUUUCCUAGAGCCUCAGCUCGCUCCGUCUUCCAGCCUUACAUCACUUGAAGCUCCUCAGAUGUUUGAGGCCACAUCCUUUCAUCUGUUGUUUCCGUGUGAAGAUGGAGGGUGUUCUGGAUGUUACGCUCUGUCUGUGUGUGUGCAAACUGAUGAGCAGCAUGCUGCUGUGUUCGUCUGUGGUCACGCACACCAUCACUGCGGUUAGUCUGUGCUGCAGCUGCCUGCUGUUAUUUACAGACCUCGCUGUCACCAUGUUUUUGCUUUACGUCUGGCUCAUGGAGUCCUCUCUGACGCCUUUUUACGUGUCUUCGGAUGUCAUCGCCCUUCGAUUCCUGCUCUUCCUUUGCCAGGCCUACGGUGUUGUGUUGCUGCUGAUGCCACCUUUGAUUGCUGUGGAGUUGUUGCUUGAUCUGCUGCAUUCUCAAGAGGUGCGACUAAAGGGACAAGAUGCAAGACAGCGAGAUGCAAGUGAAUCCCUCUCUAUGACAGUUGGCUAUUUGGGAUGUCUUCUAGCAUGGAGCGUGAGCGGGAUCUACAGCAGCCAUGACUGGACGCUGGAGCAGAUCUCAGUGGAAACCUGUCGGGAAAAAGGUGGCCAUCUUCUCACCUGCCUUCCCAGCGCUGAUGAGUUUUCCUGGGUUCUUCCUGCUGUGGUGGUCCUGUUGAGCCUGACGGGGAGCCUGGGUCUGUUCAGGAUGAAGGCGUCCAGAAGACAGCCUGACUCAUCUGAAAACACACAGACGGGCGUGAAAAAGGACUGUUUGGGCCCUGGGCUAAUGCAUAUGUCUCAAACUCUGGUUGACUCAGAAAAAACACCCAACAGCUGUGGCUUUCACAUGGCUGGGUUUGUGUAUGGUGAGCCACGAUGGAUCUGUCCUGGGAGCGGUGUCCAGUGCGCUCAACAAACCGGUUUGGCAGACAUUAUCAAGAAACAAAAGCAAUCAUCCAGCCAUGCAACAUUUGCUCAGUCCAAAACCGAUCUUCUUAUGGAUGUCACAUCAUUGGCGCUCAAAAUGGAGCAAUGUGUAUUUAACAGAACAGACCCAAAGUCUCAAAGAAGACACUGUUGGUUUCACAAAAGGGAAAGUCCCUGCUCAGGGCGAGAAAUCUUCGCAGGGUUGGUAUGCAUGGUUAUGGUUUGUGUUUUCCCCACAGCCGUCAGUGGAAAUAUUCUCCUAAUCUUUAACCUGGAGAAUUUGGUGGC
ensembl:lncRNA